rnacentral:rRNA from 1 species
GGGUUGUGAGGUUAAGCGACUAAGCGUGGUGGAUGCCACAGCGGUCAGGCCGAUGAAGGACGUGCUAGUCUGCGAUAAGCACGUCGGUAAGGUGAUAUGAACCGUUAUAACCGGCGAUUUCCAGAUGAAACGGUAAUGACCGACACACUAUCAUUAACUAAGAUAGCAGGUGCUGAGGGCGAACCGGGGAACUGGAAACAUCCUAAGUACCCCGAGGAAAAUCAACCAGAGAUUCCACUGACGGCAGGCAGACGAGGAGCAGCCCAGAGCCUGAAUCAGUGUGUGUGUUGAGUGGGAAGCGUGUCUGGAAAGGCGUGCAAAUUGGCCCAUUGCUGCAAAAAUGCAUGCUGUGAGCGCGAUAAGUGAGGGCAGGACACGUGGUAUCCUGUCUACAGAUAUGGGGGACCAUCCUCCAAGGCUAAAUACUCUGACUGACGGUAGGUAGACCAGUACCGUGAGGGAAGGCGAAAAAGAACUUGGCGAGGGUGAAAAGAACCUGAAACCGUGUACGGUACAGGCGUUGGGGCAGGCGAUGUGACUGCGUACUGCCCGUAAUGGGUCAGCGACUUAUAUUCUGUAGCAAGGUUAACCGAAUGGGGGAGGCCAGAAGGGGAAACCGAGUCUGCUGGGCGUUAAGUUGCAGGGUAUAAGACCAGGAAACCCAUUGAUCUAUGGGCAGGUUGAAGGUUGGGUAACACUAACUGGAGGACCGAACCGACUAAUGUUGAAAAAUUAGCGGAUGACUUGUGGCUGGGGGUGAAAGGCCAAUCAAACCGGGAGAUAGCUGGUUCUCCCGAAACCUUUGGGCAGCGCCUCGUGGGUAUCUCGGGGUAAGAACUGUUUCAGCAGGGGUCAUCCCGACUUACCAACCAGUGAAACUGCGAAUACCGGAGAAUGUUAUCACGGGAACCUGCAGCAGGUGCUAACGUCCGUCGUGAAGAAACAGCAGACCAUGGCUAAAGGUCCCAAAGUCAUGGUUAGAAGUGGGAAACGGUGUGGGAAGGCCAGACAGCCGGGGAUGUUGGCUUAGAAGCAGCCAUCAUUUAAAGAAAGCGUAAUAGCUCACUGGUCGAGUCGGCCUGCGCGGAAGAUGUAACGGGGCUAAACCAUGCACCGAAGCUGCGGCAGCGACGCUGAUGCGUUGUUGGGUAGGGGAGCGUUCUGCUUAAGCCUGAAGAAGGUGUGCUGUGAGGCAUGCUGGAGGUAUCAGAAGUGCAGAUGCUGACAUAGAAAGUAACGAUAAAACGGGUGAAAAGCCCGCUCGCCGAACAAAGGGUUCCUGUCCAACGUUAAUCAGGGCAGAGUGGAGUCGACCCUAAGGCGGGGAGCCGAAGGCGUAGUCGAUGGGAAACAGGUUAAUAUUCCUGUGCGGUAGAAGGGACGGAGAAGGCUAGCAUUGGCCAGACAUUGGUUGUCCAGUUUUAAGCGGUGUAGGCUGGUUUUCCAGGCAGAUCCGGAAAAUCAAGGCUGAGGCGUGAUGACGAGGCACUACGGUGCUGAAGCAACAAAUGCCCUGCUUCCAGGAAAAGCCUCUAAGCAUCAGGUAACAUCCGUCGGUACCCCAAGAAUAAACACCAGGUGGUCGGGUAAAGAAUACCAAGAUGGCAGGGAACUCGGGUGAAGGAACUAGGCAAAGUGCCGUAACUUCGGGAGAAGGCACGCUGAUAUGUAGGUGAGGUCCCUCGCGGAUGGAGCUGAAAUCAGUCGAAGAUACCAGCUGGCUGCAACUGUUUAUUAAAAACACAGCACUGUGCAAACACGAAAGUGGACGUAUACGGUGUGACGCCUGCCCGGUGCCGGAAGGUUAAUUGAUGGGGUUAGCGCAAGCGAAGCUCUUGAUCGAAGCCCCGGUAAACGGCGGCCGUAACUAUAACGGUCCUAAGGUAGCGAAAUUCCUUGUCGGGUAAGUUCCGACCUGCACGAAUGGCGUAAUGAUGGCCAGGCUGUCUCCACCCGAGACUCAGUGAAAUUGAACUCGCUGUGAAGAUGCAGUGUACCCGCGGCAAGACGGAAAGACCCCGUGAACCUUUACUAUAGCUUGACACUGAACAUUGAGCCUUGAUGUGUAGGAUAGGUGGGAGGCUUAGAAGUGUGGACGCCAGUCUGCAUGGAGCCGACCUUGAAAUACCACCCUUUAAUGUUUGAUGUUCUAACGUUGACCCGUAAUCCGGGUUGCGGACAGUGUCUGGUGGGUAGUUUGACUGGGGCGGUCUCCUCCUAAAGAGUAACGGAGGAGCACGGGACCUAAUCCACAGGGUCGGACCCAUCAAGGGGAGGGGUUAGGUGCAAUGGCGUAAGCCAACGGCUGCGAGCGUGACGGCGCGAGCAAGUUGCAGCAGGUCGCGAAGUGAUCGGUGGUUCCACAAGAUGGGAAGGGCCAUCGCUCAACGGAUAAAAGGUACUCCGGGGAUAACAGGCUGAUACCGCCCAAGAGUUCAUAUCGACGGCGGUGUUUGGCACCUCGAUGUCGGCUCAUCACAUCCUGGGGCUGAAGUAGGUCCCAAGGGUAUGGCUGUUCGCCAUUUAAAGUGGUACGCGAGCUGGGUUUAGAACGUCGUGAGACAGUUCGGUCCCUAUCUGCCGUGGGCGCUGGAGAACUGAGGGGGGCUGCUCCUAGUACGAGAGGACCAGACGCAUCACUGGUGUUCCGGGUUGUCAUGCCAAUGGCUUGCUGCCCGGUAAUGAAAUGCGGAGAGAUAGGGUGCUGGCGAAAUCUAAGCGCAAGCGCUGGAUGAGUUCUCCUACGGCCCUUCAAGAGUCCUGAAGGAACGUUGAAGACGACGACGUUGAUAGGCCGGGUGUGUAAGCGCAGCGAUGCGUUGAGCUAACCGGUACUAAUGAACCGUGAGGCUUAACCUUACAACGCCGAAG